rnacentral:rRNA from 1 species
CUAUGCGCCUUGCCAGCCCGCUCAGUCAGAGUUUGAUCCUGGCUCAGGACGAACGCUGGCGGCGUGCUUAACACAUGCAAGUCGAACGGUGAUCCCAGGAGCUUGCUUCUGGGUGAGCAGUGGCGAACGGGUGAGUAACACGUGAGUAACCUGCCCCUGACUCUGGAAUAAGCGCUGGAAACGGCGUCUAAUACCGGAUACGAGACGCAACCGCAUGGUUAGUGUCUGGAAAGUUUUUCGGUCUGGGAUGGACUCGCGGCCUAUCAGCUUGUUGGUGAGGUAAUGGCUCACCAAGGCGAUGACGGGUAGCCGGCCUGAGAGGGCGAUCGGCCACACUGGGACUGAGACACGGCCCAG